CCACCGCAGCCCCGGUCGGCGCAAGUGCGGCGCACGCUGGGGGAGGGGGAGCGACAGAGCGCGAGGCUGGCGUCGGGCCGCCGGCUGCCGGCCGGGCGAGAUUAAGUUUCUCGGUCACGCGUGAGUGUCUGUGCGCGUUUCUCCCCGGAGCUGCUCGCCGCGCCGUUACUUCACAAGAGGAGAGAGCAGCGUGGGCGAGGCGAGGCAAGGCUCCUCUAGUCCCUGGCGACCCCAGUUCUCCAGCCCUCCGCCUCCGUCCCCGCCCGGGGCGGCCGCUGCGAGCCGGGUAAGCGGCGCCUGGCCCGGGCCCGGAG
rnacentral:lncRNA from 1 species